rnacentral:rRNA from 1 species
UACGUAGGUGGCGAGUGUUAUUCGGAUUUACUGGGCGUAAAGGGUUCGUAGGGGGCUGGUUAAGUCCGACGUGAAAGCCCAUGGCUCAACCAUGGAACUGCGUUAGAUACUGGCCAGCUAGAGGAUCGGAGAGGAGAGUGGAAUACCUGGUGUAGCGGUGGAAUGCGUAGAUAUCAGGUGGAACACCAAUGGCGAAGGCAGCUCUCUGGACGAUUCCUGACCCUGAAGAACGAAAGCUGGGGGAGCAAACAGG